rnacentral:rRNA from 1 species
AACGAACGCUGGCGGCAUGCCUAACACAUGCCAGUCGAACGAGACCUUCGGGUCUAGUGGCGCACGGGUGCGUAACGCGUGGGAACCUGCCCUUAGGUUCGGAAUAACUCCCCGAAAGGGGUGCUAAUACCGGAUAAUGUCUUCGGACCAAAGAUUUAUCGCCUUUGGAUGGGCCCGCGUUGGAUUAGCUAGUUGGUAGGGUAAAAGCCUACCAAGGCGACGAUCCAUAGCUGGUCUGAGAGGAUGAUCAGCCUCACUGGGACUGAGACACGGCCCAGACUCCUACGGGAGGCAGCAGUGGGGAAUAUUGGACAAUGGGCGAAAGCCUGAUCCAGCAAUGCCGCGUGAGUGAUGAAGGCCUUAGGGUUGUAAAGCUCUUUUACCCGGGAUGAUAAUGACAGUACCGGGAGAAUAAGCUCCGGCUAACUCCGUG